GACGGAGGGGGCAAGCGUUGUCCGGAAUCACUGGGCGUAAAGCGCACGUAGGCGGGACGGUGCGUCGGUGCUGAAAGCGCCAGGCUUAACCUGGCGAGGCGUGCCGAUACGACCGACCUCGAGGCAGACAGAGGGUGGCGGAAUUCCGGGUGUAGUGGUGAAAUGCGUAGAGAUCCGGAGGAACGCCGGUGGCGAAAGCGGCCACCUGGGUCGAUACUGACGCUGAGGUGCGAAAGCGUGGGGAGCAAACAGG
rnacentral:rRNA from 1 species